ACCAAAACAGGUUUAUUGUAUUUUACAGACCAGGAGGAACAGGUUUAUUGUAUUUUACAGACUAGACCAGGAGGAACAAGAGACUGACGAGAACAGGUUUAUUGUAUUUUACAGACUAGACCAGGAGGAACAAGAGACUGACCUGAACAGGUUUAUUGUAUUUUACAGACUAGACCAGGAGGAACAGGUUUAUUGUAUUUUACAGACUAGACCAGGAGGAACAGGUUUAUUGUAUUUUACAGACCAGGAGGAACAGGUUUAUUGUAUUUUACAGACCAGGAGGAACAGGUUUAUUGUAUUUUACAGACUAGACCAGGAGGAACAAGAGACUGACGAGAACAGGUUUAUUGUAUUUUACAGACCAGGAGGAACAGGUUUAUUGUAUUUUACAGACUAGACCAGGAGGAACAGGUUUAUUGUAUUUUACAGACCAGGAGGAACAGGUUUAUUGUAUUUUACAGACUAGACCAGGAGGAACAAGAGACUGACCUGAACAGGUUUAUUGUAUUUUUAGAAAACUAUAACAUACUGAAAUUGUGUGUAAUCUACAAAAGGCAACACAGAUCGGUCAGACCAGAUCUCCCCACCACCUCCUCCUCCUCCUCCGGGGGGAAAAAGCUGUGAAAGGAUCCAACACAGCAUCAUCACAGCUCAAGAGUCCUAUUUCAAUUCAUUGAAGGUUGAGUCUGAAGCCAGUAAAAUGGAGUAUUCAGGAUGAACAACAGGUCAGACCCUGGGUUAGAAUGUAUACUAGUCUCUUCACUCACAUACAAGAAGAAGGUCUGGAGAUCGGAUAUCGUUCCAAUAUGUUGAUCGAAACCUGGGUCGAAUCGUUAAACAACAUUUGAGUCCAUGGAUGAACCCAAAUCAAGGCUUCAGAUAAACCACGGUUGGCUAGGUUACACACUUCCUCUACCCUCCCUGAAGCAAUCUGACAGAAUUGUAUGGAUAGAAGUACCAAUCACAGCUUGGGUCCCAAAAGUGUCUCGGGGUUAAAGGUUAAUCCAACGGAAGGAUUUGAUCAAAGCGUCAGAAGCACUGUCCGAUCUAGAAACAGGUCUGUCUG